rnacentral:rRNA from 1 species
CCUACGGGAGGCAGCAGUGGGGAAUAUUGGACAAUGGGCGAAAGCCUGAUCCAGCCAUGCCGCGUGUGUGAAGAAGGCCUUCGGGUUGUAAAGCACUUUCAGUGGGGAAGAAAGCCUUGGGGCUAAUACCCUCGAGGAAGGACAUCACCCACAGAAGAAGCACCGGCUAACUCCGUGCCAGCAGCCGCGGUAAUACGGAGGGUGCGAGCGUUAAUCGGAAUUACUGGGCGUAAAGCGCGCGUAGGCGGUCUGAUAAGCCGGUUGUGAAAGCCCCGGGCUCAACCUGGGAACGGCAUCCGGAACUGUCAGGCUAGAGUGCAGGAGAGGAAGGUAGAAUUCCCGGUGUAGCGGUGAAAUGCGUAGAGAUCGGGAGGAAUACCAGUGGCGAAGGCGGCCUUCUGGACUGACACUGACGCUGAGGUGCGAAAGCGUGGGUAGCAAACAGGAUUAGAUACCCGAGUGUC